rnacentral:lncRNA from 1 species
AUGGCAUCAUCACACUGGCGAUUACCGCAUCAUCACACUGGCGAUUACCGAAUCACACUGGUGAUUACCGCAUCACACUGGCGAUUACCGCAUCAUCACACUGGCGAUUACCGCAUCAUCACACUGGCGAUUACCGCAUCACACUGGCGAUUACUGCAUCACACUGGCGAUUAUGGCAUCAUCACACUGGCGAUUACCGCAUCAUCACACUGGCGAUUACCGCAUCACACUGGUGAUUACCGCAUCACACUGGCGAUUACCGCAUCAUCACACUGGCGAUUACCGCAUCAUCACACUGGCGAUUACCGCAUCACACUGGUGAUUACGGCCUGACACUGGCGAUUACCGCAUCACACUGGUGAUUAUGGCAUCAUCACACUGGCGAUUACCGCAUCAUCACAGUGGUGAUUACUGCAACAUGUUACUUUUCUUUCUGGUCUUUGAGCAUAAGCAGCUUGACCAAUGGGCAAGACAUCAGUGUUGCCCUCUGUCCUGCUGAUCAUCUUUCCAGCCCAGCAGGGACAGCCUAUUAAUGAUCUCCUGGAUCUUGCGAUUAAUUUUGGAGAAUAUCUCCAUAAAUGAUCAUAGGUUGGUGAAGGGAGACAAUUGGGCACAAACUGUGUAGAUGUUUUCCUUGACAUAAAUGAUGUAAAAACAAAAUGUAAUAGAUGUGAAACCCACUGACUCUGUUAAUCAGACAUUUUUUAGUGUCAAAAUAGAGUAAACGGGUUUGAAUUUUGAUGAGACCAUGGCCUACUCAAUUAAAUAUGGUAAUGAAGAUUUACAACAAAAGUGGAAGUAUUUCGGUAGGGGUUUCUAGUUGACUUCUACAUAAAUCAUUGACAUAACCCUUUCCAUUUCUUCCCUGUCCAUAAAAUUCCCCAAGACAUAAAUUGUUCAGGAAAGUUUAUAAACUGCUAAUGGCCGCUGAAAAGUUGGAAUAUCUGAGUUGCUACAUUGCCUAUGUUUGUGGUUUCGAAGAUUUCAUGUCCUUGUUGGGAUAGAAUUAGUAACAAUGUGAUUUAGGGAAUCCUGUGCCAAUGAUGUUAUUAUCUGUACCUUUUCUCGUUUGUUGGAGCCUCUCCUGGGCUCCAACAAAAUGUCAUUGAUUUUGACCACGUUUACUAUUGCUGUUUCUGUAUUAUCAUGUUGAUGCUUUCAAAUAUCAACAUAUUUGUUAACAGAAUAGAAACUUUGAUAUCUUACCAUGUUUGCCUUUUGCAUAACCCUUUCCUAGUUGCGGACAUGUCUACUCUCAGAAGGCUAAGGGCAGCCCUGAACAACAUCUCUGUGUUUUUUGCUGAAGGAAUGACUUUUGAUAAACAUUUAUCUAGAAUCUUUCCUUUGUUAAAUUUAGUGAUCAGCCUCUUUAGUAGGACACACUUUUAUAGUUGUGGGGAAAUGAACAAGCUGAAUAUCCUCAGAUUCUCUUAAAAAGCAAAUAGUUAUAAAAAGCAAACCAUAUUGAACAUUUCAACAUUUCCUUUUUGAUUCAUGGAGUUUUAUGGCUAAUAUAAAAAUUAAGGUUUAAUCUUUACCAUUGAACCGUUUGAUUUUAUUUAUCUUGGUUUGUUUUUCCUUAUUGGAAGAGUGGGGUGGGUUGGGGGAAAAUUAAAAUGUCCACUUAUAAGAAGAGAUUCAAAUAAAGAAUAUUGCCAGCACUGAUAUUCAGCUUAGAGGUUUCAACAUUGCAGGUUAUUUCAGCUGUACCUUGAGUUGCUAUGUGGUAGCUCUCUCCCCAAGAAAAGAAAGCAUCUUGUAAAAUCUGUGCUAUUUUGUUAGACUACAAAGAGCAAGAGUUUAUGUUACGGCUAGAGAUGAAAAAAGUUCUGCUAGGCUUAUCCUUGCUAAUUGUGGAUAUUUUUUGGCAAUUUUCCUGAAAGCCACUAGCUUCUGUUAAGGAAUUUUAGAGUUAAAAAUAAUUCAGGUUUAUUGUUUAAGUAAUUGGAAAAUAGAGUGAUUUUUCCCCCUGUGGCUUAACUAAUAACAAUAAAAAUAUUAGAGGCCCUGUUGUCCAAGUUGAGAAACAAAGCCUUACCAAUACCUUUGAAAGGCUUUGUGUGCCCCACCCUAAUUACAUGUGCUGUCUUUACUAAGGAAGCCAAAGUCCUGAUUUCAGUGAUCAUCAUUUCAAUGCUUUUCUGUAUGGUUUUACCACAUUUGUGUUCAAUGUUAACAAAAUAAUAUUUAAAUGUUUCAUUUUUCAGUUUUUAUAUAAAUGACAUUUUUCAUUGAGUACUAUAUUGUAGCAGUUCAGUCAUUGUGAUGAGUGUAGCUGUACUUAAUUCAUUUCCUCAUAUUGAUCAUUUGUGUGUCUUCUCUGUUUUUCUUUAUCAGCUUGCCUAAAGGGUUAUCAAUUUCAUUGAUCUUUUCAAACAAUUCACUUUUGGUUUCUUUCAUUUUCUCUAUUGUUUUUUGGUUUGCAACUUUAUUGAUUUCUACUCUUAUCUGUAUUAUUUCCUUUCUUAUACUUGCUUUGGGUUACUUUUGCUUUUAUUUUCUGGUGUUUAAAGAUACAGGUAAUUAACUUGAAAUACCUUUUUUAUAUGAAUAUGUAAUGCUAUAUAUUUUCUUCUAAAUCCUGCUUAUCUGUAUAAGCAUAUUUUGGUAUCCUGUGUUUUUAUUAUGCUUAAACAUUUUCUACUUUUCCUUGUGAUUUCCCAUUUUAUCCCUUGGUUAUGUAGAAAUAUAUUUUUAAUUUCCACAUAUUUGACUUUUUUCAGAUAUCUUUCUGUUUUUAAUUUAUAGCUUGAUUCUUUUGUGACCCUGAAACACAAAUUUGACAAUUCCAAUCUUUUACAUUUGUUAAGAUUUAUUUUAUACCUGAGAAAACGUUCUGUUUUGUUCAGGGUUCCAUGUGCACCUAAAGAGAACAUGUGUUCUGCUAUUACUGGCAAGAAUGCUCUAUAAAUGUCAACUAAAUUAAGUUGGUUUUAGAGUCUUUCGGGUUGCCUAUGUCCUUACUGAUGUUUUAUUUCCUGUCUUUAUUGAUUAUUUGAGAGAAAUAUUUAAGUUUCCAAUUAAAGUUGUGGAUUUCUCUAUUUUUUUCAUUCCAUCUUUUUUUUUCUUUAUGUGUUUCAAAGAUCUACUCUUAGAUACAUACACAUUAAGCGUUGUUACAUCCUCUUAGUGAAUCAUCUCCUUUAAUGUAAUGUAAUAUCUCCCUGAAACCUGUUAAUAUUCCUUGAUAUGAGCUCUAGUUUGUCUUUCAGAUGCGAUUCUUGCUUUCUUUUGAUUAACAUUUACUGGUAUUUUAAAAAUCAUACUUUUCAACAUUCCAUGUUUUUAUAAAGUUUAUUUCUGGUAGAUAAAAUACAGUGUAUUUUUUCAGUCCA